GCCCGGGUGGCUCAGUUGGUUGAGCGUCCGACUUGGGCUCAGGUCAUGAUCUCACUGUUUGUGGGUCUGAGUCCCAUGUCGGGCU
rnacentral:tRNA from 1 species